GGUGCUGUGGCUCAAGUGGUAGAGCGCUAGCCUUGCAUGCCUGAGGCCCUGGAUUCGCUUCCUGAGCACCA
rnacentral:tRNA from 1 species